rnacentral:tRNA from 1 species
UCCUCCGUGGCACAAUCGGUUAGCGCGUUCGGCUGUUAACCGAAAGGUUGGUGGUUCGAGCCCACCCGGGGGUG